GAUGAACGCUGGCGGCGUGCCUAAUACAUGCAAGUCGAGCGAACGGACGAGAAGCUUGCUUCUCUGAUGUUAGCGGCGGACGGGUGAGUAACACGUGGAUAACCUACCUAUAAGACUGGGAUAACUUCGGGAAACCGGAGCUAGUACCGGAUAAUAUUUUGAACCGCAUGGUUCAAAAGUGAAAGACGGUCUUGCUGUCACUUAUAGAUGGAUCCGCGCUGCAUUAGCUAGUUGGUAAGGUAACGGCUUACCAAGGCAACGAUGCAUAGCCGACCUGAGAGGGUGAUCGGCCACACUGGAACUGAGACACGGUCCAGACUCCUAAGGGAGGCAGCAGUAGGGAAUCUUCCGCAAUGGGCGAAAGCCUGACGGAGCAACGCCGCGUGAGUGAUGAAGGUCUUCGGAUCGUAAAACUCUGUUAUUAGGGAAGAACAUAUGUGUAAGUAACUGUGCACAUCUUGACGGUACCUAAUCAGAAAGCCACGGCUAACUACGUG
rnacentral:rRNA from 1 species